rnacentral:lncRNA from 1 species
GGUGGGAGGGCGUGGCGGUGGAGCGUCAGUAGGGCGUGGUGGAGCAAGGAGCGUGUGGAUCUUGGAAUAGCGGCCACCUCUCCCUCAGAUCCGUCGGCGGCGGCAACCGGCAGGCUGAGGGGCGGUGACGGUGGCUGAGCAGCGUAAGAACGCCGCUUCCCUGCCUCCCUCCCUCCCUCUCUUCGGUACGGGACUCAUGUGUUGUGCGGCCGGGGCUCCGGUGUUCGGGCAGGACGGCAGUGGGUGCGGCC